ensembl:lncRNA
AGCAUGGAUGUGGCAUUGCAUUGAUAGAGGACAAAAAAACUUCAGUCUCCCCAGCUCUGUGUAUUGCUGUCCAGCAGCUUUUAACUCUUCAACCAGAUUAAUGAAUUUGAAGCCUUGCUGAGUGUAUACAUAGGAGAAGCUGCUUAACUAAACUUGUUGAAGGGUUUACCCAUAUUCCUCUGGGAUAGGAACACACCAUUGAUAGGUGUGUUUUAAAAAUCAGGGCAUUUAAUUUUGUGCUACCAGUGGACUCCACUGUACUUGAUCAAGAAAAAAAAAAUGCAGCCCUUGAGAAGAAUGAAUAUUAUCCUGAGAGAGUCAGAUGAGUCACCCUCUGAGACGUUAAGUGCUACCCUACUGUGAAGAGAUUUGAUUGACUGAACAAGUGAGUUAAAUAGAGUUUAGACUGUGAAGGAAAUUGUGAAUUAAUGGGCUUCAGGUCAAGCAAACAAGUGAUGAAAACAAUUUCUAAGAUAUCUUUUUUUUAAAAAUGUUUGUCUGUCUGUUUGAACAAUGAAAAAAAUGUAACAGCCUUGUUAUCACAAGGUUCUCGUUUCACAUAAUGAAAGCUUUUUUAGUUCAUUUGCAGAAACAGCUUGAAGGGUUAUGAAACUGCUGAAGGCUAGAUUGCACAAAACCUAUUUGCACUGAUGAGAUUUUUCUUCAUGUGAGCUGCUUGACUGAAGUCAAUGAAAGUCUUCAUAUAAACACAUUUCACCGUGUAAAGAACACUUUCAGUCGUUCGGUUCACAUUGAUACAAUUGAAUGAAAUGAAUAUGUAAAUUCUUGACCUAUUGAUGAUAAUAUGAAUUCCUCUAGACACUGAUUUAGUUUUUCAUGAUUACCUGAUAUUCUCUUGGCAUAGCAUAUUGGGAUAGAAUAUAGGGAUUAGAACAAAUAUAUUUUUCGUUUAGGAUAGUAUCACAUCAUGUUAAUCCAAACAAGGAAUUUCCAAGGUAGUUACUUUCUUAAUACUUGAAGAUCACACAUUUCUUGAGAAAUACCUUAUAUUUAUAAUAUUGCUUCUUAAUAAACUAGGUGUAGAAAUCAUGACAAUAUUACCAUGGCCAAUUGUGUGAGAUAUUUUAUGUGUGCUUAAAUUCUUGCCAAGGAGGUCAGUGCUGGAAAUCAUACUGCUGUACUGCUAUAAGAUGGGAAGAUUUCUGGUUCAGAAAACCAGUAAAUUUCCUACUUAGUUGGAGAUGAUUGAAUUAAAAGAAAUUACAACUAAACUUCUAACACAGAAAAUACAAUAAAUACAUACUUGGGAGUGAACUGAAAACAGGUGCAGUCUUUCCACAACUCAGUUACGGUUCAUGCAUGCCACAAGUGACUGAGCUUGAUACUUUGGUACAAGUCUAACCCCUUUUCAUCUUAAGUUUGGGACAAUUCUUGCAAAGCAAUUUGGUUCAACAUAUGGAUUAAUCUUGGGCAGUCAUUUAAGGACACUUAUAUUUGCCAUGAAAUGGACAUAACUGCUGGCUCAUCAAAGCUGGCAAUAGUUUCAAUAACAUGGUGGAGUGACUGAAUUUCAAAUCUGACAACAUUUAAAGUAGUGGUGAGAUAUACAGUGGUAGAAUUGUGGUAUUCUUCACUCAUUUUGGGAGAGGGAAGGUGUUUUCAGAUCUUUCCACUUUUAAUUUUAUUAUUUCAUUACUAUUUUAGGACAGUUGAAAUGCUAUUUUAAUGAACUGCGAUGAAAAUUGUGUUGAAAAUGAAGGGUAUAAAAGAGAUGAUCCACUCAGUUUUAGUUUUCCACUUGUUGGAGGUUCUUCUGGAGUACUUAAUCCCAUAAUUUGUCAGAACAAUUAAAACAAAGAAGCAAACAAGAGGAAAAAAAAAAAAAAAGCAAGAGAGCGAGAGGUCAGUUUAUUUCGCAGUUGUUGCUGAUAUCCAUCAGUACCAGGUCCAAGUAUGUGAGCACUGCAGUUUCCUCUGCCUCUUGCAAUUAGUUCCAUUAUCAUUCAUGCAACUGAGACUGAUCAUUUUCCUAUAACUUCACUGGUCCUAUCUUGUGCCUCAUGUCUUUGCUGUGACUUUUUUUCUAAAUAAGACCUAAAUUAGGCCAUGAAUUGAAUAUAAUUGUUUGAAUUGUUUGCCUUCAGAAUUGCAGAACUUACGUGAUUUCCCUCUCAGUUAUUACUCAAAUUGUAUCCUGUUAUUUAAAUGGUUACUGGAAACAAUAUGUUGUCAAUAUACAAGGAGAACAUAAAGAAUAUGUAAAAAAAAAAAAAAAUCAGAUAUUUAUAUAUUUGCUUAUUUUUAAGUAUGGUAGUUUUAUUUACUAUGACGGUGAAAUUUUGUUCACACUAAUGGUGACUCAGUGUUUUGCUGAGUCUCAGUGAUUAAUAAAAUACAAUAACAC